rnacentral:rRNA from 1 species
AGUUAACGCUGGCGGUAGGCCUAACACAUGCAAGUCGAACGGCAGCACAGUAAGAGCUUGCUCUUACGGGUGGCGAGUGGCGGACGGGUGAGGAAUACAUCGGAAUCUACUUUUUCGUGGGGGAUAACGUAGGGAAACUUACGCUAAUACCGCAUACGACCUACGGGUGAAAGCAGGGGAUCUUCGGACCUUGCGCGAUUGAAUGAGCCGAUGUCGGAUUAGCUAGUUGGCGGGGUAAAGGCCCACCAAGGCGACGAUCCGUAGCUGGUCUGAGAGGAUGAUCAGCCACACUGGAACGGAGACACGGUCCAGACUCCUACGGGAGGCAGCAGUGGGGAAUAUUGGACAAUGGGCGCAAGCCUGAUCCAGCCAUACCGCGUGGGUGAAGAAGGCCUUCGGGUUGUAAAGCCCUUUUGUUGGGAAAGAAAAGCAGCAGGUUAAUACCCCGCUGUUCUGACGGUACCCAAAGAAUAAGCACCGGCUAACUUCGUG